rnacentral:tRNA from 1 species
CAUUAAAUGACUGAAAUCAAUAAGUUUUGAUUUUUUAAAUCAAUCAUAAUAGAAUAAUUACUAUUUUUAAUGG